rnacentral:rRNA from 1 species
UUACCAGAGUACUAUGAAUGUUUAAAAAUUUAAAACUCAAAGAACUUGGCGGUGUUUUAGACCACCCAGGGGAACCUGUCUCGUAAUCGAUAAUCCACGUUGUACCUGACCUCUUUUUGUUUUCAGUUUGUAUACCGUUGUCGUCAGGUAACUUUUUAGAAACUAGAAGUUAGCAAUUAAAAUGUUGGUAAUUUAGUAUGUCAAAUCAAGGUGCAGCUAAUAAAGAGGGGAGGAUGGGUUACAAUUAUAUAAUUCAUAAUGACGGAUAAGUAUAUGGAUAUGUGUUAAGUUAUAAGGAGGACUUGGAAGUAAAUUAGGAUAUAUAAAUAAUUUGAAUUAGGCUCUGAGACGUGU